CUCCUACGGGAGGCAGCAGUGGGGAAUUUUGGACAAUGGGCGCAAGCCUGAUCCAGCAAUGCCGCGUGCAGGAAGAAGGCCUUCGGGUUGUAAACUGCUUUUGUCAGGGAAGAAAUCUUCUGGGCUAAUACCCCGGGAGGAUGACGGUACCUGAAGAAUAAGCMCCGGCUAACUACGUGCCAGCAGCCGCGGUAAUACGUAGGGUGCGAGCGUUAAUCGGAAUUACUGGGCGUAAAGCGUGCGCAGGCGGUUAUGUAAGACAGAUGUGAAAUCCCCAGGCUCAACCUGGGAACUGCAUUUGUGACUGCAUGACUGGAGUGCGGCAGAGGGGGAUGGAAUUCCGCGUGUAGCAGUGAAAUGCGUAGAUAUGCGGAGGAACACCGAUGGCGAAGGCAAUCCCCUGGGCCUGCACUGACGCUCAUGCACGAAAGCGUGGGGAGCAAACAGGAUUAGAUACCCUGGUAGUCCACGCCCUAAACGAUGUCAACUGGUUGUUGGGUGCAUUAGUACUCAGUAACGAAGCUAACGCGUGAAGUUGACCGCCUGGGGAGUACGGCCGCAAGGUUGAAACUCAAAUGAAUUGACGA
rnacentral:rRNA from 1 species